CAGCUCUCCUUUUCCUCCUCGGCCCUCGGCUCUGCCUGAUGCGCUCAGUACUGGCUGCGUCACGUGUGUGUGUGAGCUGCGCCGGACGGGGUUCGCAUCGCCAGCAGCCACAGGAGCGUGUGGCCAGGGGGGCGCGUCGUGCACAGGCCGAUAACCGAGGGAAGGACCUGAGGUCCCCAAGGAGUGAUGUUAACUUAAAUGUGUGGUGAUUUAGCUCCUUGGCAGCUCCAAGUCUUUAAUCACCGUGUAUAAUCCAGGUCCGCGAUGGACCAGCGAAGGCAAAGACAGUGACAUCCCAUGUGCCGCCUGCUAACAGCGAUGUGAGAUACGUGGAUCUCAGAGCUGUGAAACGUGAAGUCAUCUGCGCCAGGAAAUGAAUGAAACAUUAUGAAAAUCAGGUGAAGUCGGACGCCUUAAGCCGGGAGGGUGGCCCUCUAGUGGUAGCCGAGGUGGUUCACCUGCCGUUCAGAGGAAGUGGCUGGCCUCUCCCCGAGCUCUGGGAAUACUCUGGUCUCCCUUCGAGUGGUGGACGUAGAGCCCGGGAGCCGGGAGGAAGAGAGCUUUGUCAGAUUUUGGGUUUUCCCUGAGAAUUGAGGGCCAGACCAGACAUCCGAGGACCCUUGUGGUGGAUUCUAGAUUUCUAUACUGCCCACCAGGAUACAGACAAGCGGGAAGAGGAGCAGACUGCUGAUUCCCGUAGGCCCUGCUCCAGCUGGCCAGCAGGCGUCCCAGAGCGAGCGGCCCUGUCUGAGUCUGACGGCUCGGUCACUCAGGACAGCUCCAGGUGAAAGCUCAUACAGCCACGCGGCCCACCUCCAAGCGCCAGGCUCUGUCUGCGGGCGCAGCAGCGCCAUCUGUGACACACACUUCUCUCCCCUCGAUAGCACAGCAGUCCCCGUGCCAGACCAUUCCAGGUGAUGACUCACAUUCUCGACGUUAACCAGAGAAAGUUCGAAGCACAGCCCAGCCAGCUCUCCUCCCUCAGUCCUCUGGGGACCAACGUUCCCUGGUUUUGUGCAGGGAACACUGGAUGGGAGCCCCCAAAGCUGGUCCAAUUAGCAGGUUUUCUGUUUGCUGUGAGGCUACUGAACUAAGACGGUGAAAAAUUUCGUCAUAAAUAAAAUUUCUCUAUAGACUAGUGGCUUCCAGGCCAGCUGGUUAACAAAUAUAGGGGAGAAUGGCUCCGGCAGGGAGUGUGCUCUGCAGUGGCCCACGGCUUCCAUGGCUCCCUGCUGCCCUCCACCAGGGGCACAGCCAAGGGGGCCGUCACCUUGGUAUUCAGAUAAGCCCCCCAGCUCCCGCACUUCCCCUCCUUCCUGCACCCCCACAUCCCUAGGGCAGCCUCCUCUGCUCCGCUGUGGUCUGUGGUGCAUUGCAUCAGUCAUCUGGGCGCCCUGGAAAGUGCAGAUUACUAGGCCUGCCCUGGACCUGGGGAGAGGGGCUGGGGUUUACACUUAAGUCAAUUUUAAUUCACACUGAAGUCUGAAUCACUUUGUAGAAAGAAUUAAUGUUUGGCUUAGAUAAAUUGUGCAUACUGGUUAGUACUAAAAAUAGCUAUGCAUGUUUGAAAAUCAAGACAAUCUUCAACAUU